rnacentral:misc_RNA from 1 species
AAGUCGUAACAAGGUAACCGUAGGUGAACCUGCGGUUGGAUCAUUACAAAAACAAAAAUGAUUAUGGUAGUUUGAUAGAGAGAAGACGGGGGUUAGCUAACCUUAACCCCCCCUUUUUUUUAUUUUACUGCCAACCUACACCUGUGUGCACUUGUAACUGUCUAUGGCAAGAGCGAGGAAAAAAAGAAAGGCGGGUGUCUUUUUUCUUUUUUCUUCACUUGCCAAACAACAUAUUUAAACCCCAUAACGUUUUACUAUUAUAUUUCAAUUAUACCAAAAAACAAAAUGUUUUAAAAACAACUUUUGACAACGGAUCUCUUGGCUCUC